CAAUAGCGUAUAUUAAAGUUGUUGCAGUUAAAAAGCUCGUAGUUGGAUUUGUGGCGUACGGUGGGUUCCGGGCACUUGUUGUCUGAGUAACUUGCUGUUGCCAUCCUUGGGUGGAACCUGUGUGGCAUUAGGUUGUCGUGCAGGGGAUGCCCAUCAUUUACUGUGAAAAAAUUAGGGUGUUCAAAGCAGGCUUAUGCCGUUGAAUAUAUUAGCAUGGAAUAAUGAGAUAGGACUUUUUUGCUAUUUUGUUGGUUUGCGCAAAGAGGUAAUGAUUAAUAGGGACAGUUGGGGGUAUUCGUAUUCCAUUGUCAGAGGUGAAAUUCUUGGAUUUUUGGAAGACGAACUACUGCGAAAGCAUUUACCAAGGAUGUUUUCAUUAA
rnacentral:rRNA from 1 species